rnacentral:rRNA from 1 species
AGAACCUCCCCCUCCUUGACGUGUAAUUGGCGUUGAGAAUUACGAGCGGCAAACGGGGAGUAACACAUGGUAACCUACCUCGAGACGGGGAUAGCCCGCCGAAAGGCGGAUUAAUACCCGAGGACAUGCGGGGACAUAAGUCAUUCGCAUGUAAAGCUCGGCGCUCGGAGAGGGGCCUAUGUCUGAUUAGCUAGUUGGUAGGGUAACGGCCUACCAAGGCUUUGAUCAGUAGCAGGCGUGAGAGCGUGACCUGCCUCACUGGGACUGAGACACUGCCCAGACACCUACGGGUGGCUGCAGUCAAGAAUCUUCCGCAAUGGGCGAAAGCCCGACGGAGCGACGCCGCGUGUAGGAUGAAGGCCUUCGGGUCGUAAACUGCUUUAUGGGGACGAAUUCGGACGGUACCCCAAGAAUAAGAG